rnacentral:rRNA from 1 species
CCUACGGGAGGCAGCAGUAAGGGAUAUUGGUCAAUGGGCGAAAGCCUGAACCAGCAACGCCGCGUGGAGGAUGACGGCCUUCGGGUUGUAAACUCCUUUUGUCGAGGACGAGAGAGGACGGUACUCGGCGAAUAAGUCACGGCUAACUACGUGCCAGCAGCCGCGGUAAAACGUAGGUGACGAGCGUUAUCCGGAUUUACUGGGCGUAAAGCGUGUGCAGACGGGUGGACAAGUGCUGUAUGAAAUCACUAGGCUUAACUUAGUGAGGUUAUGGCAGACUGUUCAUCUAGAGUGCGAGAGAGGGAUGUGGAAUUCCGGGUGUAGUGGUGAAAUGCGUAGAGAUCCGGAGGAACCCCAGAGGCGAAGGCGGCGUCCUGGCUCGCAACUGACGUUCAGACACGAUAGCAUGGGGAGCAAACGGGAUUAGAAACCCCGGUAGUCCAUGCCGUAAACGAUGUUGACUAGGCGCUAGCGGUGAUGAGCCGUUGGUGCCGCAGCAAACGCGAUAAGUCAACCGCCUGGGAACUACGACCGCAAGGUUAAAACUCAAAUGAAUUGACGG